GCGUGAAUCGUCUAGUGGUUAGGACAUUUGCUUCCCAGAUACUAAGCUCUAGUAGCAAGGAGCCCGGGUUCGAAUCCCGGUUCGCGCA